ensembl:lincRNA Gm26527 predicted gene, 26527
AGUUUUAGAAAGAUUUUAUUUUAUUUUGUUCCUCAAAUCUGGAACAAUCAUGGCAUAACAAAGGAGUAAGUUCACAAGUUAAAUAAAAUCUUCAAGGUUAAACAAAAUUGGAAAGAACUAACAUUAAUAUCUCUAAAAAUAGGUUAUCAAGCUUUUACUUUUGUAUCAAACAUGAAAAUCCAAUGAGAUAUAAUCUGAGACAUAUUCCAUUCUAUUUGUUUUAUCAGACAAAACCUCCAGUUAUUUUUAAGAAUCACUUUCUGAAAGUCUUCUUAAAUCCAUUAGUUAUGCUAAUAUUCCAAACACUGCCUACAGUCACAGCUGGAACUGAGGACAGCUGUUCUGAGAACACUAAGGAACGAUCAGGUAGGUGUUAUGAAGUAGGGACCGUCAGUCCACCUAUAGCUACAGGAGGACACAGGAGGAGUAUUCAGACUCAUGUCACUCAGACUCUGUCACAGUCUUUGGAGUAAAAAGUGUCCUAAUGGCAGGCUAUAUGUCAGCCAAGUUGGGUAAAGGUUGGUAAAAGAUGUCAUUAGCCAUAGUACCAUUUUCUUAUAAUACUCUUACCAUAAUAAAAUACAGAAUAUUAAUGACCAGGAGAUGCUGCUACUGAACUGAAGAUGACUGUGCAUAUCAUAUUAUUUGGUGGUUUUAAUUCCUAGUGUGCAGUGAAGAAUGGAAAUGGAGAUUGCUGGCAAAGGAGACUUCCCGGGAAGCAGAAUUCUCUUUUGUCUACCUGCAGAGGCCAUCACAGACCUGCCAUUCAUUGACUGCCCAGAUCAUUCUCCCGCUAGCGCAGAGGUGGGAGGGGACAGCUUGAGGACAGAAUCGGAAGGGCUGGAGGAUAUUUAUUCUGCCCUUACAGUCAGCUCACUGGACUAGUAAAUGCCAGGUAACUCUUUCUCGUUUACUUUGUUUAUUAAUUCAUUUUUAAAAAGUACUGGCUAUCUAUUAUGUCGCAGACAUGGUUGCUGAUGUUGGUGAUAAACUGUGAAUGAGACAGAGGUGUUAAUGAGAAGUACCACUGGGUUUGACACACCCUGCUGCGAAUCUGGUGGACUCACAUCGGUAAGAUGUAUGAGGGUCUGAGAAAGGGCUGACAGUCAAAUAGUGUAUCCUCAUUCUCCAAGCCCAGAAUCCAGAGCCCCAGAACAGGGCAGUGAAACAGAGAAUGAAAGGGACAUGGAUGGUGUCUCCUCUGCCUUACUGAGGCCAACAUUCCAUGGCCACUUCCUUUCUGAGACUGCUCAGGGCGAAGAAGUGCUAUCCUGGCCUUUCUUGCCACUGCUUGAGAAAACAGCAUAGACCAUGGCAUAGUGGGAGAUAUAGCCACAAUCUUGACAGAUUCCAUGCAACUGUGAAUAAUCCUCCUUAGCAGAUGCCACAGACCCACAACUCCCAUUAGCAUGGACACAGAAUGACCAGUCCACCUCCUCUGGGCAGGGCUUAGGACUAUCCUAAAGCUCAGAAUGGGUGAAGCAGAGGGGAGAGAGACCUCAGGCACAGGACAGUGAAGUCCAAAGGCAUGACAGGAACAGAGCCACACAAGCUGGGUAGCAGAAGUCUAGACAGAAUGAGCAAUAGUGGGUGGGGGUGGGGGUGGAGAUAAAAACACAUUUAGUUAUCAUGGAAACCAAAACCACGGCACAGGCAUGUCUCCAUGCUGGCUUACUGCAAUGGGCUGUGCGCUCCACAGGAAGAUGAGUGAGCGGAUGGGUUAGGGUCAUGGGUGCGGAAAGCCCGAGUAAGAGCUCACAGACAGGGAGCACUCACAGCCAACAGAACCACUAGCAACAUCUGCUCCCUGCCUUUGUUACAAGAAAUGUGUCUUGCCAAUAAAGCUGGUUAUUAGCAGAGGGAGUUCUAACAGCUGACUUGUGAAGCAAAAAGAGCCAGCUGUCCUGGCCUCCAGGACUCAGGGAUAACUUCCUAUGUCAAGUUCCCA